UCUCCUCUAUGGAAAAAAGAAAAGAAUUCUCUGGACUGAAGAGUAUGAUUGUGGUUACAGAUCUUCCUCAUGGUCUUGUGGGGCCUCAAAAUUCCACUUGAGGCAGUGAGUAUCAGCUGACUUCUAGCUGGUCAUGGUAGAUCAAACAAAACACAUACUGAGUAGAGAUGGGGGCCAAUGGCUGAGAAAUAAUUCAGACAUUUCAAGAAUGCACAAGCUAUAGUCUGCUGUAUUCAUGGAGCACACAAGAAAGAAAUGUGAAGAGGAAAGAAGCCCUGUAUUACUUAGAUUUGACUGCUUCAUGCCAGUCUCAGGAGCUUUUCCAGCUCAGCAUGAUCAAAACUUCACUAAAGCCAGGUGCAUUCAAGAACACAGGACUCCCUAUUCCCAGAGCUUCAAGUUGAAAGGUGACUGUGGACAUACUCAAAGCUGUGCUCCCUGAGGAACAACUUCAGAGCCUGUACACUACAGGGGUGAUGGGUUCUUCUGCUCACUGGGUCAGAAGCAUCCGAUUUCCUGUCAUCGGUUGCGGUUCAGCCAUGUUAAUACUGAAAGUAUAAGAAUAUCAUAAUCCCAGAGUGAUAUAAAGACCUUUCCAAGGAAGAUGAGAUACCCGGAGGCUGUGAAGGAGAAGUCUGAAGGAUUUGAACGCGUUCAAAUGAAAACCUUUGGUUCAGCAAAACACCAGAAACAAAUUCAAAAGAUAAAAUACACUCCGGAGAAGCCCAUUCUCUCAACGCAUCUGACAGUUCACAAAGAGCAACUGCAGUCCAACUUAAAAAAUAAAGAAAAUGGUAGGAAAAUGGGCAACAUGCACUGAGGCAAUAUAUAAGAAGAAGGAAUGCGCAAUUAAUCAACAAAAGCCUGCUCUUUCCUAACGAGUGAAGAUACAAGCUUAGUAAAUAUUAAAAUUUAUUGAAGAUAAAAAUGGACACUUCCGGCCAUAUAUAAAAGCAUUGUUGGUAAGAGAGUGGGGUAAUUGACAUGCUCCUGGGAAAUAAUACGCAUUCAGACAACCUCUAAUGAGUGAAUCCACUGGGGGUAUCCACUAGGAAUAGAAAACGACCACCAAUGCCCAAGUUUGUGGUCCAGAAUUUGAGCAGCGAUCUAACAAAGUAGAGUCUCCCCCUGUGUCAUGGGCCCCACUUCUUAAGCAAAGAAGAAUGCCUCAUUUUGGUAACUCACCCAAAUAAACAGAAAUUUUUUUUGAUAAUCUUAUCGCAUUUAUUUGGUUAAGUCUGAGGCAGAAUAUUUUUCUCCUUUGUAUCUUUGUUUUGUUUUGUUUUAAUCCUUGAAGUUUAUUACCAAACUACAUCUUGGUGUUUCUUCAGGAUGUGAACAGGCCUUUCUAUUCUCAAUUAAGUGUUUCUUUCCUUUAAUUCAGGAAUCUUCUAAUCAUGUAUUUUAAUUUCUUUUUCUGUCAUCCCUCCCCACGCCAUAAGCUACCAGUCACUAUACAUGUUGGAGCUCUCUUUAUUGUGCCAUAGAUCUCUGAUGUCAUGUCUUUAGUCAUUAUUUUGUGUCAGAAAUUUUUGUUCUUCCGGGGACAUCUGGCAAUAUCUAGAGACAUGCUACUGGCACCUAUAGAAAUGCUAGUGACUUAUUAUGGGUAGAGGCUAAAGAUGCUGCUAAAUAUCCUACAAUGCCCAGGACAGCCACUGCCACAACAAAGAAUUAUGCAGUCCACAAUGUCCAUAGUGCUAAGGAGAAGAAACCCUGUCCUAGGGUCAAGGUUGGAUGCUGACAAGACUAAUUUCAAGUGAUUUCAAACGAUUGUGGGGAAAAUACCCAGAAGUUGACAGGAGCAAUAUGUAGAUAUUUCCUUCUGUAAAUUAUAUUUCCCUAAUGCUAAUGCUGGAGCAUUUGGAAACACGUGUAUAAAUAUUUGAAGCACAAAACCAGAGAGAUGCUCUUAUGUAUUUAGCUUCUAGUUUUAAAUAAUAGAUACUACAAUAAACCUUGAUUAAACCUUGAUUAUCUGAUAUGCUCUGGGUUUGUGCUUUUUGUGUGGGUUACAUUUUCUAGUUAAUGAAUGUUUAACCACAAAAUAUUUUUGUUUCAAGCUUUGCUUUGCAAAAAUAUAGCAUUUCUAACUGAGGUGCUUGUAAUGUCCCUGGAUUAUGAAGUAAGUUGAAAACCCUGAAAUUCUAUAUAAAUAAAGGAGGGGAGCGUAUUAUGG
rnacentral:lncRNA from 1 species